rnacentral:rRNA from 1 species
UACGUAGGGUGCGAGCGUUGUCCGGAAUUAUUGGGCGUAAAGGGCUCGUAGGCGGUUUGUCGCGUCGGGAGUGAAAAUCCAGGGCUUAACUCGUGGACUGGCUUCCGAUACGGGCAGACUAGAGGUAUCGCAGGGGAGAACGGAAUUCCUGGGUGUAGCGGUGAAAUGCGCAGAUAUCAGGAGGAACACCGGUGGCGAAGGCGGUCUCUGGCAUUACCUGACGCUGAGGAGCGAAAGUGUGGGAGCGAACAGG